AUUUAUUUGUUUAUUUUUUCCCUUGAGCUGUUUCCUUACUGUAAAUAAAAUAAAUAAGAAAAAGAUAGAUAAAACAAAGGUAAAAAGAAGAAUAAAAUAAAUAACAAAAAGAUAGAUAAAACAAAUAUAAAAAGAAGAAUAAAAUAAAUAACAAAAAGAUAGAGAAAACAAAGAUUAAAAAAAAGACAGCAACGACCCAAGUUAUAGAAUGCAUCCUGACAUUUCGGAAUAUUCACCAGACCAACAGAUGGAAAAGGUCAAAGAAAAUCAUACAACUUAAACAUUACCCGACGCAUGUAUUCCAGCAUUUCAAAUUAGCGAAGAGAAGUAAUUUUACGCUGAAGUUAGAGGCAGGUGUCACAGGCAUAGAUAGUUAGUUAGUUGGAUAGACAAGCUAUAUAGAGGAAGGUGUCACAGGUAUAUAGUUAGUUAGACAGAUAUAUAUAUAGAGAGAGAGGUAGUUAGGUGAAAGAAAUAGAAAAAGAAGACCACGGAAAAAUCUUAUAUGCUCUGAAAUUUCAAGUAAGAAGAUGAAGCAAGAAGCAAAUCCGCAAGAAAUACGAAAGGAAUGUCACAAAAAAAAUAUUA